rnacentral:rRNA from 1 species
GGGCCCGCACAAGCGGUGGAGCAUGUGGUUUAAUUCGAUGAUACGCGAGGAACCUUACCAGGGCUUAAAUGUAGUGGGACAGGUCUAGAGAUAGACCCUUCUUCGGACUCAUUACAAGGUGCUGCAUGGUUGUCGUCAGCUCGUGCCGUGAGGUGUCAGGUUAAGUCCUAUAACGAGCGCAACCCCUAUCGUUAGUUGCCAGCGAGUAAUGUCGGGAACUCUAACGAAACUGCCAGUGCAAACUGUGAGGAAGGUGGGGAUGACGUCAAAUCAUCACGGCCCUUACGUCCUGGCUACACACGUACUACAAUGGCCGAGACAAAGAGUCGCAAGUUUGCAAAGACAAGCUAA